UGCAUGUUGGUCAAUGAGUAGCUCCAAAGGAAGGUGUUUCCCCUUUCAUGAAAAUUAAAUUGAUCUGGGCUCUUCAGGACAUUGCUGACUGUGCUGAAAUGGGGCAGAAACUGAACAUUUCUGUGCCCAGAAAUGCACUACAAUGCUGAAUACUGCACCCUUCUGCCCGCCCUAAAUCAGCCAGAAGGAAUCAGGAUCUGGAGAAUGGGGAAACUGGCCACAAUGUUUCUGCUACAACUUGCUGAGGCACAAAGGACAACUCUGUAGUAAAGAGUACGUAGCCACACCCAAGUGAGCUCAGAGUUCGUGUCAACAUGAUGGAACCGCGUUUCAGGCCAGAGUGCUUCAAAGGACUCGCUGAGAUUUUAAAUACAGACCAGAGAACGUGAGGCCGUGGUCCACAUGUUGAAAUGGCUAAAACUACAAGACUAGAAAAUGGUAAGACCCUCUGAAACUCUCGACGAGAGAAGAAGGUAAAGAUCAAACAUUCACAGUCUGCAGCUGGGUACCUAAAGUAGUCUAGGACAAAGACGAGAAGGAAGAAAAGGUCCUGCUCACCACUGUGUGGAACACCUGAAGUAUCCAUUCUAAGAAGGACAUUGUGACCUCUGGUGGACAACCAGAGACUUACAUUGAACUACUCCCCAUAGACGGAUCGAAUGGUUUCAACAGAGAGACGACAGAGAAAGACAUCUACGCAUAAAUCUAUUUUGCAUUUCUAAUCAAAAUGAGCAGUUGUUAGGGUGCUAAAUGUUCAUAUUCCUGUAAACGUAGCUUCCAAAUGUAUAUACGAUAAGUUGACUCUUUUUGUCUCCCCCUCUCCUUACCACCCCUCCCUUUCCAUUGCGUAACCAAAUGGUCAUGCUUUUGAUAGUCCACUAGAGACCUGUUUUCAUUUAUUUUUGUUAGUAAUCAAUAACCUAUACCGUGUGUGUGUGUGUUUAUGUAUUUCUGUGUGAUUAUUUAGUUAGUUAGUCAGUAAAUAAAUAAUUAAGCCAA